rnacentral:tRNA from 5 species
GCCCAGGUGGUCAGUUGGGCGGCCUCGCCCUACUACGCCGCGCCGGGCAAGAUCCGCUCGGUGGAAGACGCGAUCGUCCGCGUCCUCGGUU